UCCUCGACGUAGUGGACGGUGACGCCGUCGCGGGCUUCCCAGGCCAGUUCGGUGUAGGUGCGGCGUACCGGGUCCCGGUCGAGCAU
rnacentral:tRNA from 1 species